rnacentral:rRNA from 1 species
UACGUAGGUGGCGAGCGUUGUCCGGAUUUACUGGGCGUAAAGGGAGCGUAGGCGGACUUUUAAGUGAGAUGUGAAAUACUCGGGCUCAACUUGAGUGCUGCAUUUCAAACUGGAAGUCUAGAGUGCAGGAGAGGAGAAUGGAAUUCCUAGUGUAGCGGUGAAAUGCGCAGAGAUUAGGAAGAACACCAGUGGCGAAGGCGAUUCUCUGGACUGUAACUGACGCUGAGGCUCGAAAGCGUGGGGAGCAAACAGG